CGAUCACCUUGGUACAAAGCCGGUUAGUCCCCGACUACAAACGCUCUCCUGACACAGUGGCUGUCCGGGUGGCUGGAGGGGACAUAUACAAACUACCCACAGCAAAGGUACACUUGGAUUGGGGUGUGGGAAAAGGACUUGUGAGGGUGGGAAUUAUGGAUAAUUUGCCAGCCGAAGUUUUGCUGGGAAACGACCUGGGACCUAUGACUUCCG